UGUGUGUGUGUGUGACUGCCCUCUGGGCACAGCUGGCACAUCAAAGAUUGAACUGUUGCCCGCCAGAGAUAAAACCAUGAGCUACUACAGCUUGAGCUACAAGCCAGCCCUGCCUAUCUGGGGCUGCAACAAACUCGUAUUCUCUGCGGAGCAGACACGAACAGGCACCUGUGGUGGACACUGCCUACUGGGUCACGUGUACAUCUCUUCAGCCUCGCAAAAUGGCAGCGUCAUGACAGGCAGCCGACUCCCAGAAACGCAGAGUUGCAGUACGCUGGAAACAAGAUUGCAGCAGUCAAGAGAGCUACGUACGGCAGAGGGUUGUCCUUGGUGUUCACGUUGGUGCUUUGAAGAUACCCUCUGCUAGUUCCCACUUCCCGUCCCCUGUGUCACGGCCAAGGAGGGCUACAUGGGAUUAGCUGCAGUUGCUACUGACAACAUCUGCAAACGAAAUAGAGAGAUUGUAAGCACAUACAAACCUGGGAGAAGAACACACCAACUCAGGUGAUGUGCAUCUCUGCGCUACUGAAGAGAGGGGCUUGGACUGGAACCCAGGCUAGCCCAUCCCUCUGUGACAGCUCUGCCAGGGGAACUCAGAGAAGAGUUUGCCAUGGGAGGAGCACAAGCAGGAGCUCUGCAGGUCAGAGGUUGAGCUGGCAUCAGUCCCCUGUGGCAGGGUACACAACACAUCUGGGUCACAAGAUGGGGCUGAGCAUGAAGCUAGGUAGAGCCAAGGCCCCACACUCAGUUUCCCCAGAAGUUCCUGCAGAAGUUUGGAACCAGACAGGAAGGAGUUAAGGUACCAAAUGGCCUCACACCUCCGGAUCGGUCUCAUCUCCUGCCUUGCAUGGGGGCACACCCAAUGUAGCACUCAAAAGGGAAUGGCAGGGUUAGAUUUACCUGUGCCCUGUCCCUUUAAGGCUUGAAGGUCUGCUGAGCUGAGGGGAUCAAAGGGGACGGCUCUUGUUGCAGCAAGCUCUGUGUGUUCUGGAAGGACUGAGCUGCAAUGAGGGCUUGUGCAUUUAAUACUGUUUAAUAAAACUCCAAUUUUAAAACUGCCCCUAGUCUGGGAUUGUAAUAUUUGGUGAGCACAAGCAGAAGAGGCUGAAUUGCAAUGAACUGACCUCCCUGACAGAGGAACCUACCUAGAAGCUGCUGUCCACUGUUGCAGGAAAAGCUGCCACGGGAAAUAUAAUUGUUUGCAAGCACUAUGGCGGGGAGAGACUAGGAGCAGUGGUUUUCAGCCUGUGGUCUGCAGAUCACUGGGGUCCCCAGACUAUGUCUAAGGGCUCCAAGAAAGAUUUUUAUUACCAUAGAACUGUGGUUUUCAACCAUUGGUCCAUGGACCACUGGGGCUUCGAUCUGCAGACUAUGUCUAAGAUUUCCAAGGGGUCUGCACCUCCAUUUUAAAUUGUUUAAGGAUCUUCAAAUGAAAAAAGGUUGAAAACCAUUGACUUAGGGGACCUACAGGUGGAGAUAGGAGGACUUUCAUACCAGCUAAAGGAUGAGCAUUUAAGAGAAAUCUAUGGCUCUCUGGGCAUUUCCGGGACAAGUCACAGUGAAACUGUAGCAAAAAGCCAUUUUGCUUUAACCGAAUAUAUAAGAAGCCACUUAAAUGGGUGGGAAGAGUUGGAAGAUCAGGGAUUAUCUACAUUGCUUGCAUUAAAAGAUAAGAUUUUACAGUUUAUUGCUACAGCAAAAGGGCAAAUGGACACUUCACCAGCCUUCCAGAGUUCCACCAACUAACAGCUAAAACAGAAUGAUUUGAGCUUAUAUCGAUAAGCCUCUUGCAUCCAGAGAGACGCAAAGGAGGAUAAGACUACAUCUUAGUCAUUGUGGAUCACGUCAUGAGGUUUGUUCAAGCCUACCCUGCCACCGCUAAGAAGCCAGGAAGGACUGUGGCAGACAAGAUCUUCAGUGACUUAGUUUUAAAAGGCGUCAGCACGACCUAGAGGCAGAGUUUGAAAAUAAUUUAUUCAGAAGGUUAUAGAACUACUGUAAUAUUGAAACCCCUCACACAACCCACACCACCCACAGGGUAGUGGGCAAGUAGAAAGGCUGAACCAAACUGUGCUGGCCACAUUGAGAACCCUGCCACAGAAAAAAAGUCAAAGUGAAAGGAUUCCCUUAAUAAGGUAAUGUAUGCCUAUCACUUUGCCAGAAGUGAGGCUACAGGGGUCUUAGCAUUCUAUUAAUUGUGUGGAUUAUCACCAUGUUUGCUCAUUUACAUCACAUUUGGCCUACCUAUAAACUCUGAAUCUGCACCUGGGGACUGGAAAUAUUAUGUAGAGAAAUGGAAACAACAGAUGAAAGAAUCUUAUGAACUGGCAUCAGAAUGUUCUAAACAAUCUGCUGCUCAUGGAAAGAAUCAUGAUGAUCAUCAGAAAAGGCAUGACACUGCCCUCUUGCCAGGUGACAGAGUACUUGUCAGGAAUCUUUCAGAAAGAGGGGAAAUUAAAAUGCUGCUGGGAAGAUACAAUUCAUGUCGUUCUUGAAAGGAAAGGGGAUAGUCUAAUCUAUGAAGUAAAUAUGGAAGAUGGAAAAGAAGGUAUUAGAGUUCUUCACUGUAAUCUUUUACUUCCCUGUGGGCUUCUUACCUGUGGACAUAACACCACCAUCGAAGCCACCACAGCUGAAAAUACAGAGAAUAAGGCAAACUAAUGCAGUAAGAGAUCAAAAUAAGGACACAAAUUUGGACUCCAGUGAUUCUGAUAGUGAGAAUGAAAAUGAAUCCACUGCAAGGGCAGAAGCGUUUUAUCCAUGCUGGGGAUAUGAGCCUGUUGCUCACCCUGUCAAUGCGAAAACUGCUGAUGAGAGUGAUGUGACAUUUACACCAGCCACUGACAGAUGUGAAUCCCAAACCAUAACCAUGGAACCUGAAACAAGUAGGGCACUAGAGGACAGAUCUCCAGAACAAUCCACUGACAUGUGAGGUUGUCCAGCUAAAGAGAGAAGAGCCCCACGAACAUUGACAUAUGACUUAGCAAUAUCUAAAACCAACUACUGGAUUGGGGAAUGCGCUCUGGGGUUGUCCUCGUGUUUGUCAUAUGCCAUUCCAAGUGCGUACUCCUAUACCUUAUCCAGCAUUCUACUCAAGGCUGAUGCAAUAUUUGUAAUAGUGACUCUUGGUAUGGCUAUUGUUCUAAAUUAAGUGUUUUAUAGUUCUGGAUAGUUUGUUAUUAUGUUAAUUUAGUAGAUGCUUUUCUAAAUAGCUUGUCACAUGCCCAGUGUCUUGGAGUCACAUGGUUAUCCCAUUGAUCAUAUAGGAACUGUUAUUUCCAUAAGAUAGGAACAUCUUUGGUAAUUUAAUAUGUUUAGAACUGGCUGUUCUGUUGGACAGCAGGCCUGCAUUUGCUGCAGAAACUUUCUACUUAAUGUAGAAUAAACUGAAGAGAGAUGCAGAAGUUUCCACCAUAAGCAUCUGAAUUUAUGAAGGAGGAGAGACCUAACACUCAGUUGAGAAUAUCAAUUAUGAGCUUAGAGAGACAAGGCAGGUGAGCUAGUAUCUUUUAUGGGACCAACUUCUGUUGGUGAGAGAGAUGAGCUUACACAAAGCUCUUCUUCUGUGUGAAAGCUCAAAAGCUUCUCUCUCUCACCAACAGAAGUUGGUCCAAUAAAAGAUAUUACCCACCUACCUUAUCUCUCUAAU